rnacentral:tRNA from 1 species
CCCUGGAUGAUGCAAAUGGUUAACAUGCUUGGCUGCUAACUAAAAGGUUGAUGGUUCAAGUCCACCUAGAGGUG